UAACUGAACUAUGAUGGGUGGCCAGUAUGU
rnacentral:piRNA from 1 species